UUUUCUUCGGAACUGAAGAUUUGGUGAUUGAGUGGCGGACGGGUGAGUAACGCGUGGGUAACCUGCCCUGUACAGGGGGAUAACAGUCAGAAAUGACUGCUAAUACCGCAUAAGACCACAGCACCGCAUGGUGCAGGGGUAAAAACUCCGGUGGUACAGGAUGGACCCGCGUCUGAUUAGCUGGUUGGUGAGGUAACGGCUCACCAAGGCGACGAUCAGUAGCCGGCUUGAGAGAGUGAACGGCCACAUUGGGACUGAGACACGGCCCAAACUCC
rnacentral:rRNA from 1 species